CCUGGCUCAGAAUGAACGCUGGCGGCGUGCCUAACACAUGCAAGUCGUACGAGAAAGGGGCUUCGGCCCUGAGUAGAGUGGCGCACGGGUGAGUAACGCGUGGGUAAUCUACCCUUGGAUUUGGGAUAACUUCGCGAAAGCGGAGCUAAUACCGGAUAGUCUGGCUUUAAUUAAGAAGUCGGUAAAGGAUGCCUCUGCAUAUGCAUUCGUCCGAGGAUGAGCCCGCGUCUCAUUAGCUAGUUGGUAGGGUAAUGGCCUACCAAGGCAACGAUGAGUAGCUGGUCUGAGAGGAUGAUCAGCCACACUGGAACUGGAACACGGUCCAGACUCCUACGGGAGGCAGCAGUGAGGAAUUUUGCGCAAUGGGGGCAACCCUGACGCAGCAACGCCGCGUGAGUGAAGAAGGCCUUUGGGUCGUAAAGCUCUGUCAACAGGGAAGAAGUUACAAUUGUUUAAUAGAUGGUUGUAUUGACGGUACCUGUGGAGGAAGCGCCGGCUAACUCCGUGCCAGCAGCCGCGGUAAUACGGGGGGCGCAAGCGUUAUUCGGAAUUAUUGGGCGUAAAGGGCGCGCAGGCGGUCUUGUCCGUCAGGUGUGAAAGCUCGGGGCUCAACCCCGGAAGUGCACUUGAAACAGCAAGACUUGAAUACGGGAGAGGAAAGCGGAAUUCCUGGUGUAGAGGUGAAAUUCGUAGAUAUCAGGAGGAACACCGAUGGCGAAGGCAGCUUUCUGGACCGAUAUUGACGCUGAGGCGCGAAGGCGUGGGUAGCAAACGGGAUUAGAUACCCCGGUAGUCCACGCAGUAAACGUUGUACACUCGGUGUAGCGGGUAUUAAAACCUGCUGUGCCCAAGCUAACGCAUUAAGUGUACCGCCUGGGAAGUACGGUCGCAAGACUAAAACUCAAAGGAAUUGACGGGGGCCCGCACAAGCGGUGGAGCAUGUGGUUUAAUUCGACGCAACGCGAAGAACCUUACCUGGGUUUGACAUCCUGUGAAUAUCCCGUAAUUGGGAUAGUGCCUUCGGGAGCACAGAGACAGGUGCUGCAUGGCUGUCGUCAGCUCGUGUCGUGAGAUGUUGGGUUAAGUCCCGCAACGAGCGCAACCCUCGUCACUAGUUACUAACGGUUCGGCCGAGGACUCUAGUGAGACUGCCUUCGUAAGGAGGAGGAAGGUGAGGACGACGUCAAGUCAUCAUGGCCCUUACGGCCAGGGCGACACACGUGCUACAAUGGGAUGUACAAUGAGACGCAAUACCGCGAGGUGGAGCAAAUCUAUAAAGCAUCUCUCAGUUCGGAUUGUAGUCUGCAACUCGACUACAUGAAGCUGGAAUCACUAGUAAUCGUAGAUCAGCCAUGCUACGGUGAAUACGUUCCCGGGUCUUGUACUCACCGCCCGUCACACCAUGGGAGUUGAUUUCACCCGAAGCGGGGAAGCUAAACUGGCUACCCUCCACGGUGGAAUCAGCGACUGGAGU
rnacentral:rRNA from 1 species